AGAGAAAUAGUUAAAUAAUAACGUUUCUUUGUCAUAGGAAAAUUGUUUAAAAAUUAAACUUUCUCUA
rnacentral:tRNA from 1 species